rnacentral:rRNA from 1 species
CAGUAGCCGCGGGAAUACGUAGGGUGCGAGCGUUAAUCGGAAUUACUGGGCGUAAAGCGUGCGCAGGCGGUUGUGUAAGACAGGUGUGAAAUCCCCGGGCUUAACCUGGGAACUGCGCUUGUGACUGCACAGCUAGAGUAUGGCAGAGGGGGGUGGAAUUCCACGUGUAGCAGUGAAAUGCGUAGAGAUGUGGAGGAACACCGAUGGCGAAGGCAGCCCCCUGGGCCAAUACUGACGCUCAUGCACGAAAGCGUGGGGAGCAAACAGGAUUAGAGACCCGCGUAGUCCCUGUCUCUUAUAC